rnacentral:rRNA from 1 species
ACGAACGCUGGCGGCGUGCCUAAUACAUGCCAGUUGAGCGCUGAAGGUUGGUACUUGUACCAACUGGAUGAGCAGCGAACGGGUGAGUAACGCGUGGGGAAUCUGCCUUUGAGCGGGGGACAACAUUUGGAAACGAAUGCUAAUACCGCAUAAAAACUUUAAACACAAGUUUUAAGUUUGAAAGAUGCAAUUGCAUCACUCAAAGAUGAUCCCGCGUUGUAUUAGCUAGUUGGUGAGGUAAAGGCUCAUCAAGGCGAUGAUACAUAGCAGACCUGAGGGGGUGAUCAGCCACAUUGGGACGGGGACACGGCCCAAACUCCUACAGGAGGCAGCAGUAGGGAAUCUUCGGCAAUGGGCGGAAGUCUGACCGAGCAACGCCGCGUGAGGGAAGAAGGUUGUCGGAUCGGAAAACUCUGUUGGUAGAGAAGAACGUUGGUGAGAGUGGAAAGCUCAUCAAGUGACGGUAACUACCCAGAAAGGGACGGCUAACUACGUG